rnacentral:rRNA from 1 species
UACGAAGGGGGCUAGCGUUGUUCGGAAUCACUGGGCGUAAAGAGCGUGUAGGCGGCUUGGUAGGUCCGCUGUGAAAACUCGAGGCUCAACCUCGAGAUGUCGGCGGAAACCACUUGGCUAGAGUCCGGAAGAGGAGAGUGGAAUUCCUGGUGUAGCGGUGAAAUGCGCAGAUAUCAGGAAGAACACCUAUGGCGAAGGCAGCUCUCUGGGACGGUACUGACGCUGAGACGCGAAAGCGUGGGGAGCGAACAGG